rnacentral:rRNA from 1 species
AUUGAACGCUGGCGGCAGGCCUAACACAUGCAAGUCGAACGAGUGGCGGACGGGUGAGUAAUGUCUGGGACCCUGCCUGAUGUAGGGGGAUAACUACUGGAAACGGUAGCUAAUACCGCAUACCAUCAGAUGUGCCCAGAUGGGAUUAGCUUGUUGGUGGGGUAACGGGUCCCCAAGGCGACGAUCCCUAGCUGGUCUGCGAGGAUGACCAGGCACACUGGAACUGAUAGACGGGCCAGACGGCUACGGGAGGCAGCAGUGGGGAAUAUUGCACAAUGGGCGCAAGCCGGAUGCAGCCAUGCCGGGUGUAUGAAGAAGGCCUUGGGGGUGUAAAGUACUUUCAGCGGGGAGGCGUUACCCGCAGAAGAAGCACCGGCUAACUCCGUGCCAGCAGCCGCGGUAAUUC